GUCUUUUUGAUUAUAAUUUAAAGUYUAACCUGCCCAGUGAGUAAUUAAACGGCCGCAGUAUUUUGACUGUGCAAAGGUAGCAUAAUCAGUAGUUUCUUAAUUAGAAACUUGUAUGAAAGGUUGGAUAAGAAAUUAACUGUCUCAGAAUUAAUAAUUAAAAUUUUAUUUUUAAGUUAAAAAGCUUAAAUUUUAUUUAAAGACGAGAAGACCCUAUAGAAUUUUAUAAUUAUUUAAUUAUUUUUUAAAAAGAUUAAAUUAUAAAAUAUUAUUAAUUAUUUGGUUGGGGUGAUUAUAAAAUUAAAUAAACUUUUAUUUAAAGUCAAUCAAAGAUUUUUGUUUUAGUGAUCCAUAAAAAUGAAUGAAAGAUWAAAUUACCUUAGGGAUAACAGCGUAAUUUUUUUAGAAAGUUCAUAUUGAUAAAAAAGAUUGCGACCUCGAUGUUGGAUUAAAAUAAAUARUUGGUGAAGAAGCUAAUAUAUUAGGUCUGUUCGACCUUUAAAAUUUUACA
rnacentral:rRNA from 1 species